GACGAACGCUGGCGGCGUGCUUAACACAUGCAAGUCGAGCGAUGAAACACCUUCGGGUGCGGAUUAGCGGCGAACGGGUGAGGAACACGUGAGGAAUCUGCCUUCCACUCUGGGAUAACUCCGGGAAGCCGGGGCUAAUACCGGAUACUUUCAACUGGCGGCAUCGCCGGUUGAAGAAAGUUUUUCGGUGGAAGAUGACCUCGCGGCCUAUCAGCUUGUUGGUGAGGUAAAGGCUCACCAAGGCGACGACGGGUAGCCGGCCUGAGAGGGCGACCGGCCACACUGGGACUGAGACACGGCCCAGACUCCUACGGGAGGCAGCAGUGGGGAAUAUUGGGCAAUGGAGGAAACUCUGACCCAGCGACGCCGCGUGGGUGAAGAAAUCCUUCGGGAUGUAAAGCCCUGUUGUAUGGGAAGAGCGGAAGACGGUACCAUACGAGGAAGCCCCGGCAAACUACGUGCCAGCAGCCGCAGGAA
rnacentral:rRNA from 1 species